rnacentral:rRNA from 1 species
UACGAAGGGGGCUAGGCGUUGCUCGGAUUUACUGGGCGUAAAGGGCGCGAGUAGGCGGCCGAUCAAGUCAGAUGUGAAAGUCCUGGGACUUAACCUGGGGACUUGCGAUUUGAUACUGAUUGGCUUGAAUUCGGGAGAGGAUAGCGGAAUUCCCAGUGUAGAGGUCGAAAUUCGUAGAUAUUAGGGAAGAACACCGGUGG